AACGUAGGAGGCAAGCGUUAUCCGGAGUUACUGGGCGUAAAGCGUAUGUAGGCGGUUGGGCAAGUGGCGUGUGAAAGCUCCCGGCUAAACUGGGAGAUGACAGGUCAGACUGCUCGACUCGAGUCCGAUAGAGGAGCGUAGAAUUCCGGGUGUAGCGGUGAAAUGUGUAGAGAUCCGGAGGAAUACCAGUGGCGCAAGCGGCGCUCUGGGUCGGGACUGACGCUGAGAUACGAAAGCGUGGGGAGCGAACGGG
rnacentral:rRNA from 1 species